AGCACCCUGAUUUCGAGCCAUGUGCUGUGUGUUCGGUGGCAGAACCCCUUGGCCUCUGUUCCCGGGUGCAAGGGGAGGAGGCCCAGGGGAUACGGGUCGGGACCUCGGUUUUAGGACCCUGAGCUAGUCCCUUGCUCAGGGCUGGAUGUCCUCAUCAUUUUUCUUGUUCUGUCCUCCAGGGUUUAGGGCUCAGACAGAGGGAGUGGGACACAGCCUCAGCUCUGCCAGCCAGUUCCAGCUCAGCGACCGGCUGCCUGCCACUGUGUCCUCCAAUGGGGGCUACAGCAGCUUUGCUUGGCUGACCCCCGCCCGAGACCCUCGGUCUGAAGGAAGAGCUCAGGCCAAGCAGGAGCAGGAAUACUCUACUCUGAAGUUUUGACAAACGCCCGUAUACCCAUAUAUAUCCAGAUAACCCACUCCUCUGGACAUGUGAACGUUUUCAGUGUUCCAGAAAAUUCCCUCAUCCUCCCUCCCCAGGAAGACCCCCUCUCCAGCAACCACUGUGCUAACGUCUACCUCCGUGAGUAGUUUUGCCGGUUCUAGAAUGUCCUGUAACUGGAAGCAAACAGGAGACGGCUCUUCGCGCAGCUCAGUAUUUUAGAGAUUCACCCGCGUGUUGCGCGUCUCCAGUUCAUUCCUGCAGUGAUGGGAACGUUCUGCACCAUCUGAUACAGUUCCCGCUCACGGCAUGCCGCGUCCGAGUACUUGGAAUGUGGCCCGUGGGCCUGAGGGACUGAGUUGUUAAAUUCUAUUUAGGUUUAAUUUGUUAAAAAUGAGAGAGCCACUCGUGUUUCCCGACUACAGCUCCUGCAGCAGACAACGCAGAUAAAAUUAAAAAACCACUGAAAGAAUGAGGAGGAGAAACCAGUCAAGCUAUGGCAAUAGUUGGACUAUGAAUGUAUUCCUCUCGGCCAUGGGCUGAUGAAGCCGCGGGGAGUGCAGGUGGUCGUAAGACCCUUUACCAUUUUUGUCUCUAUUUCUUGUUUUGAGCCCCCCCCCCCAAGUUGGAUUGUUCACACUGUCUGAUAACAAAUAGACAUAUUCUACGAUGUACCUGACUGAUGUCAUCCCCUGUCAUCAUGAUUCCUGUGUUGGGUGUUAAAAACCAUUUCUCACCUUUGGAACUCAGGGUCAAUAUUUGGGUGAUCCAUUGGAUAGAAGGCAAGACGUAGUAAAGGGCCCCUGCACACUCAUCAUCUAUGGUCCCUUGACCCUGGGCUUCUCUCCAGCUACUGCCACACCCCACCUUCCCCUCCCAGCCAGGACUUACCCCCAGAGAAGCGUGAUUUACUGUCUUCUCCUUCUCCCUCUCCAAUGCACUGGCUUCUGUCCUAAGGACUUUGCUGGAAGAGCUCUAACCAACUCUCUCUAUGGCCUUC
rnacentral:lncRNA from 1 species